AUGGAAGCUGGUAAAUGUUUUUUACAACAUUACAUAAAUGAAAGUUGUCUUUGCUUCAGCAUUAUGCAGCCCUCACUUAAAUUAACACUACUUACUAGACAAAAUCAAGAAGCAAUAAAGAAAAUGACCAAGAGUCAAACAACUAUACCCUGUAUACACUCACUAAUCCAAAAAUCUUAUGUACGAUACAGUUCAAUGACAAUGAUCAAUGACCUCAAUUCGAAGAACCUCCCAAUGAAAACGUAA